CUCUCUGGUUGUAGUGUCCUCAGUGCAGUGUUAAACAGGAUGGCCUUGUAAGACAUACAGGACUCAAAAAAUAUCUGAUAUUUAUUUGACAUAUAUUUUUAAUAUCUGAUAAACUUCUGAAUGUUUGAGGUUUUUCUUACUAGUCAGAUGGUUCAUAGUGCCUGGAGAAGUUCUUCAACAAGAGGUCCACUCCAACUCUGCUGCACGGUCAUCAGCAUGGAAGAAUAUAGGAAAAUAAACAAUGUGUCACAGAGCCAACAAUACUGGACCUCUUGUUGAAGAACUUCUCCAGGCACUAUGAACCAUCUGACUAAUGCUGUCAUGAAAAGGCAACUGCUGGACACCUGGGACAGGCCAUCAAUUCCAAGUUGGCGGAACUGAGGUUUCAACUGAAGAAAAAGGAGACCUGUUAGAGUUUAGAGUUGUCUAAUAGAGAGGGUGAAGGAAGAACAUCCAAACCCUGCCCCUGCUUCCUUCAAGAUUUUUUAUGGAUUUAUAUAAUGGUGUUUUUUCGUAAAGUAAAGACAGUGGCAAAAUUAACAUGACACUACUUUGAUGUUUUGUUCUACAAAUUAAACCACACACACACUCCAAAAACACCAAUUUUGAUACAAUUUACAUUUGCAAGAAAAAAAAAAUCAAAGUAUUGUCAUGUUAAUUUUGCCACUGCCUUUACUUUACGAAAAAACACCAUUAUAUAAAUCCAUAAAAUCUUGAAGAAAUCAGGGGCAGGG
ensembl:lncRNA